CCUACGGGAGGCAGCAGUGGGGAAUAUUGCGCAAUGGGCGCAAGCCUGAUGCAGCCAUGCCGCGUGUAUGAAGAAGGCCUUCGGGUUGUAAAGUACUUUCAGCGGGGAGGAAGGUGUUGUGGUUAAUAACCGCAGCAAUUGACGUCACCCGCAGAAGAAGCACCGGCUAACUCCGUGCCAGCAGCCGCGGUAAUACGGAGGGUGCAAGCGUUAAUCGGAAUUACUGGGCGUAAAGCGCACGCAGGCGGUCUGUCAAGUCGGAUGUGAAAUCCCCGGGCCCAACCUGGGAACUGCAUUCGAAACUGGCAGGCUAGAGUCUUGUAGAGGGGGGUAGAAUUCCAGGUGUAGCGGUGAAAUGCGUAGAGAUCUGGGGGAAUACCGGUGGCGAAGGCGGCCCCCUGGACAAAGACUGACGCUCAGGUGCGAAAGCGUGGGGAGCAAACAGGAUUAGAUACCCUAGUAGUC
rnacentral:rRNA from 1 species